GCAAAAUCCUAGGGGUGUUCGUGAUCGCGAGGAGCGGUGGCUCCACCUGUACUCAUCCUGGUUAAGGUCCUCACCUGUAAUCAUCUUCCUGGAUUCGUCUCACUUGUCUUACCUCCUUGAAACCCUAGAUUUUCCCUACCCUCCAUGCUCACUCCAAUAUCCUAGCCCUAGAAGAGACGAGUUGGGAGAGGGAGGGGAUCAGCGGGAUUGUGAGACAGGAGAACGGGUAAGGGGGUUUAAUGGUCAAAAUACAUUGUACUAGUCAGAGUUCUCUACAGUCACAGAACUUAUGGAAUGUCUCUAUAUUGAGGGGAUUUAUUGUGAUGACUUAACAGUCUGUAGUCCAACUACCCGAACGAUGGUCAGCUGUGAAUGGGAAGUCCAAGAAUCUAGUAGUUCGUCGCUCAGUCCCACGAGGCCAGUUGGUUUAGCUGGUAAAGAAAUAGAAAUAGGUUCCAACAGACGUACUGGCAAGUAAAUGCAAGCAGGCGAAGAAAAGUGAGCCUUCCUUCUUCCAGGGUCCUUAUAUGGGCCUCCAGCACGCUUGUCAGCGUGAGAGAAGACGAGUUUCUUCUGGCUCACAAUUCAAGGGCAUGGUCUGCGGCGACGUGGAAGACUGGCAGCAGGGGCUUGGGGCAGCCAAUCACAGGGUUUCUCUCUAUAGCCCAUUCUGACAAUGAAAUCCUUCUAUCUCAGCCUCCUGAGCUGGGAUUACAGGUGUGUUCAACCAUGCCGUGCUUUUGACUCCUAACCACAAGGACUUGGCCAGCCAUCAUGCCUCGUAUCAAAAUAAAUAAAAUCACAGAAUUAAAAUAAACAAUCCG
rnacentral:lncRNA from 1 species